GAUGAACGCUGGCGGCGUGCUUAACACAUGCAAGUCGAACGAUGAAGCCCAGCUUGCUGGGUGGAUUAGUGGCGAACGGGUGAGUAACACGUGAGUAACCUGCCCUUAACUCUGGGAUAAGCCUGGGAAACUGGGUCUAAUACCGGAUAGGAGCGACCACCGCAUGGUGGGUGUUGGAAAGAUUUAUCGGUUUUGGAUGGACUCGCGGCCUAUCAGCUUGUUGGUGAGGUAAUGGCUCACCAAGGCGACGACGGGUAGCCGGCCUGAGAGGGUGACCGGCCACACUGGGACUGAGACACGGCCCAGACUCCUACGGGAGGCAGCAGUGGGGAAUAUUGCACAAUGGGCGCAAGCCUGAUGCAGCGACGCCGCGUGAGGGAUGACGGCCUUCGGGUUGUAAACCUCUUUCAGUAGGGAAGAAGCGAAAGUGACGGUACCUGCAGAAGAAGCACCGGCUAACUACGUG
rnacentral:rRNA from 1 species